rnacentral:misc_RNA from 1 species
UUCAAGAAAUAGUUCAAACAGUCAGAGUUCUAACCACACUUAUGCAUAACAUCUAAUAAUUCCCAAUUAUGAGAUUUACAUGGGUAUUGACAUCAAUGCAUUACUUGGUGUUCAAUGUGAAUUUCUUUUACAAGUCAGCAUAUGCAAGAAUAAGACUGAGCAGAAAUACAGGAAUUUUAUAUUACAAACUGAACAAUGAACACAUGCAUUGAACUCAAUAUAACAAUCUCCUCCAAACUAAACAUAAAGAGUAUAGAACAAUGACAACUAAGCCUUAAUCCCAAAC